GAUGAAGAACGUAGCGAAAUGCGAUAAGUAAUGUGAAUUGCAGAAUUCAGUGUAUCAUCGAAUCUUUGAACGCACAUUGCGCCCGCCAGUAUUCUGGCGGGCAUGCCUGUUCGAGCGUCAUUUCAACCAUCAAGCCCCAGGCUUGUGUUGGGGACCUGCGGCUGCCGCAGGCCCUGAAAACCAGUGGCGGGCUCGCUGUCACACCGGGCGUAGUAGAUUUUAUCUCGCUCUGGGCGUGCUGCGGGUUCCGGCCGUUAAAAAACCCUUUUAACCCAAGGUUGACCUCGGAUCAGGUAGGAAUACCCGCUGAACUUAAGCAUAUCAAUAAGCGGAGGA
rnacentral:misc_RNA from 1 species